CCAAGCUGGAUAAAUACCCAAAAAAUACACCUAGACAUAUUAUCUCAAACUUACAGAAAAUGAAAGAUAAAGUCCUGAUACAAUUUCAGAGGAAAAAAAAACACACCUUACCCAUAAAAGAACAAAGUCAAGAAUUACAUCAAUGCCAACACAUGCCAGCAAGAUGAGAGUAGAGUGAAAUAUUGUUUAAGUGCUGAGAGAAAAAUCCAGCAACCCAGAAUCCAGCAUCCUGCAAAGUUGUCCUCCAAACACGAAGGAGAAUAGACUUCCUCAGAAAAACAAAAGUUAAGGGAAUUUUUGGCUACUAGACCCGCCUUGCAAGAAAUGUUAAAAGAUUUUUAGAGAGAAAGAAAAUACUAUUGGUCAGAAACUUGGAUCUACAUAAGCUAAGGAAGAACAUUGAAGAAAGAAUAAAUGAAGGCUGUGCUGCUGUACUUGAUUCUACAGAGGAGUUUCUUGUUGAAAA